AUGAUCGUGUGCGUCAUUCGCUCGUUGUAUUUUCUCCAUGACCUCUCCAGUUGGAUUCACAAUUUCUCUGUUGAUUUCUUUAGGUCAAUGAGGAAUGCUAUGCCACUUGUGUCAAUUGCAGGGACAGCUGACAAGAUUACGACACGGAGUUCUGUUUGUUUAUUCCCUGAAGAACUUUCAUCCUCUAUCCAUCUUUUAGUCUUUCAUUCAGAUAGUUGGUGUUUGCAAAGUUUAUGGGGGCCUCAACUGUCAAUAUCAAGAACCCAGGAACUCUUUGGGCCUCCUUAUACUGAUGGAGGUUCCGGUAAAUAUCUGUUCCCUUAA
rnacentral:rRNA from 1 species